UUGUUCUAUUGACAUGGAAUGAAUGAACAGGCACACGUGACUAUGGAGUAGGUCUACUUCACAAUUCAGAUUUUCAGAUGGUGCGUUGUGGCUGACAACGGCCCUAAAAUCUCGAGUGUCUAGGUUUAUUGCUGGUUCCUGGUUGCUGUAGUGCAAUGUCAUCUGCUGGCCGUGCCGCGCAAUAGCGCCACAACAUAUGUAAUUUCACUGGACAUUACGGUACUGUGAAAUCUCAAGAAGUGAGUUUGAGGCGGAUCCGAAUGCCUGUGGUCCUCCACGCACCCCAGAGACAUAUGACGCGGCGGUUGCUGAUCUCCAGGCUGACAACAUCCAAGGCGUCAGAGGAAUAAAGGUGUUUUUUCUUGAUAAACCCAGAAAAAGGAACCAAAGUAGAGAACAAAAACUCCAAGCAUCAUCACAACGUGAACCCUCGCGUCCUCACCCUGAUACAGGAACUCUCUGUUUCAUGAAGAGGUUAUACUUUGCAGGAAUGUUAGUAUGGUAUAAAACAUAUUUACUUUUCAUUUAUUCAAUUAGAGAUGUUUUUAUUGCAAAAAAUACCUUAGCAAACUGUGAGGGGGCUCACCUCUCCACAGAUCUGAUCUGUAAUUUGGCCUGUUGGCAUCACCUGAUUGUCUCCAUGGAGAUAAGUUUUAUGCCAUACUGUGGAACAUUCCAGACAGGGAGAGUGUGGUGUUGGCACUUAAACUUUGUGUGACAGAAAUAUGUUCUGAUUUAAAGAGGUUAAUGUCCAGAUUUAGAGAGGCUUGUCUUCUGGAUCAUUUCAACUUGGAUUCAGUCAUAGUUAAAAGAACCAUUACAUGUAGGUUCUUUGCAUGUUGUUUGUAUACGUUGAAAAGAAAAUGCAUCCAAUUGUUUUAUGGCAUACUGUGGAACAUUCCAGACAGGGAGAGUGUGGGCUGUUGUUGUGCGCCUGGCACUUAAACUUUGUUAAUUGAUUCAGUCGAGCUAA